rnacentral:misc_RNA from 1 species
AUAUAUAUAUAUAUAUAUAAUUUCAAAAAAGUUGCAAAACUAACAAGCAGAUCUUUCUAGGGUACUCCCAAGAACCAUCUCCAUCCAAAUGGAAUCAGUAUCCCUCAAGGGAAUGGGCCAGCAAUUAAGCCACUUCUAACACAAGAUCACACAUAUACAAGGCAAGAAAGCUUCUUUGAGGACCCAGAUCAGCAAGAGAAACAUUGAUCUUUGUACAACUUUGGAAAGAUUAGAUCAUUUUUUACAAUGCACACAAGAAAAGAAAAGAAAAAAAAAAGAAUAAAAUCCUUGACAAAAAUGUGGGAUCAAGGGAAAAAAUUAUCCUCUUCAUUAACCUAAUGAUAAAUGACUUUAGUAGUUUUUUUUUUUUUUUUUUCAAUCUCAAAUGUGGAUUGAAACUUGUGAAAUAUUGU